ACGCUGCCUUUCAAACAAAUAAAUCUUUAAAUAAAGACACGGGCUGGUGUGCCGUGGCUGCAAGCCACCGUCCGCGGUUUGUGUGCAGCCUAUUGCUCGUGUGGGUUGCCCUGAGGGGCCUGGGAGACAGCU
ensembl:snoRNA SNORA70 Small nucleolar RNA SNORA70